CUCUUAACGGUGGAUCACUCGGCUCGUGGGUGAUGAAGCCCCAGCUAGCUUGUGAGACCCAUAUGAAUUGCAGAAUCAAUGAAUAAUUAUAGGUUGACGCAUAUUGCGCCCGGCGUCCUAUGCGACGUGGCCACCCUAGAUCGAGGGUCAGUUAUAACCAU
rnacentral:rRNA from 1 species